rnacentral:rRNA from 1 species
UACGAAGGGGGCUAGCGUUGCUCGGAAUCACUGGGCGUAAAGCGCACGUAGGCGGCUUUUUAAGUCAGGGGUGAAAUCCUGGAGCUCAACUCCAGAACUGCCUUUGAUACUGAGUAAGCUUGAGUCCGGGAGAGGUGAGUGGAACUGCGGGUGUAGAGGUGAAAUUCGUAGAUAUUCGCAAGAACACCAGUGGCGAAGGCGGCUCACUGGCCCGGUACUGACGCUGAGACGCGAAAGCGUGGGGAGCAAACAGGG